UACGUAGGGUGCGAGCGUUAAUCGGAAUUACUGGACGUAAAGCGUGCGCAGGCGGUUUUGUAAGCCAGAUGUGAAAUCCCCGGGCUUAACCUGGGAAUGGCAUUUGGGACUGCAAGGCUCGAGUGCGGCAGAGGAGACUGGAAUUCCUGGUGUAGCAGUGAAAUGCGUAGAUAUCAGGAGGAACACCGAUGGCGAAGGCAGGUCUCUGGGCUGACACUGACGCUCAUGCACGAAGGCGUGGGGAGCAAACAGG
rnacentral:rRNA from 1 species